GACCAGACUCCUACGGGAGGCAGCAGUGGGGGAUAUUGCACAAUGGGGGGAACCCUGAUGCAGCGACGCCGCGUGGGUGAAGAAGCGCCUCGGCGCGUAAAGCCCUGUCAGCAGGGAAGAAAAUGACGGUACCUGAGUAAGAAGCCCCGGCUAACUACGUGCCAGCAGCCGCGGUAAUACGUAGGGGGCAAGCGUUAUCCGGAUUUACUGGGUGUAAAGGGAGCGUAGACGGCAGUGCAAGUCUGGAGUGAAAGGCGGGGGCUCAACCCCCGGACUGCUCUGGAAACUGUACGGCUGGAGUGCAGGAGAGGUAAGUGGAAUUCCUAGUGUAGCGGUGAAAUGCGUAGAUAUCAGGAGGAACACCGGCGGCGAAGGCGGCCUGCUGGACCGCGACUGACGUUGAGGCUCGAAAGCGUGGGGAGCGAACAGGAUUAGAUACCCCGGUAGAU
rnacentral:rRNA from 1 species